UGGGGAAUAUUGCACAAUGGGCGCAAGCCUGAUGCAGCCAUGCCGCGUGUGUGAAGAAGGCCUUCGGGUUGUAAAGCACUUUCAGCGGGGAGGAAGGCGGUGAGGUUAAUAACCUCAUCGAUUGACGUUACCCGCAGAAGAAGUACCGGCUAACUCCGUGCCAGCAGCCGCGGUAAUACGGAGGGUGCAAGCGUUAAUCGGAAUUACUGGGCGUAAAGCGCACGCAGGCGGUCUGUCAAGUCGGAUGUGAAAUCCCCGGGCUCAACCUGGGAACUGCAUUCGAAACUGGCAGGCUAGAGUCUUGUAGAGGGGGGUAGAAUUCCAGGUGUAGCGGUGAAAUGCGUAGAGAUCUGGAGGAAUACCGGUGGCGAAGGCGGCCCCCUGGACAAAGACUGACGCUCAGGUGCGAAAGCGUGGGGAGCAAACAGG
rnacentral:rRNA from 1 species